UCAGAAACCAAAAAACACUCUGGGAAAAUGGAGGUGGCAUUGAAGAAGGAAAUGAAGAGGGAGAAGGCCAGGUUGGGGCAAAGUGUGAUAUGGGGCAGAUGACAUUUACAUGGCAGAAAAAAAAAGAUAAAUAAUUCCUUGGAAGCAAGGGCCAUCACUCCUCAUCUCUAUCUCCUGCUGCUAGCCUGGUGCUGACAUAAAGCAGUGCUCAGCAUAUAUUUGUUCAACAAUGUUGUUGAGGGCUCUCCCCAUGGCUGUCCACCAUUUGAAUGAAUCCAGAACACCUCAGCACCAAGUUCAGGCUUCCAUCUUGCAGCAAGGUUCUGCAACUUGUGUUGGAAUUCUCAGGAAAAACUGCCAGAAGCAGUACGACUAAAACCAGGCAGAUGGAGCACAGAAAGGAAGGCACUGCUCACAGCGAAAACCACAUGAUCAAAGUCAGAGGUGCUGGCAUAAUGACGAUGAUGAGGAUGGUGGUGGUUGUGAUGAUGAGGAUAGUUAACAUUUAUUGAGAGUCUACUAUGUACCAAGAACU
rnacentral:lncRNA from 1 species